GGAUAUGAAGGCAAUCUGGCUGCGACAUGUGGCAUCCCAUUGAUCACCAGGGUGCAUCUGGCUGAUCUGGCUGGCUAGGCAGGUGUUCCCUUCCUCCCUCACCACUGCAUGUGUGUCCCUCCUGAAGCUGCGUGCUUGGUGAAAGAGGAUGACCACCCUCCAUAGAGGAGGACUGUUUCCUUGGUCGAGGGUGUAGGAGUAGCUAUGCUUGCCCACUAGAACCUCCAAAUAAGCUCUCAAAAAGAAAAAUGUUGAGUUAAUAGCAGGAAUUAGCUAUUUGUUCUACUGUAGAAAUAA
rnacentral:snRNA from 1 species